UGCUUUCCUAUGAUCAUUCGUCAAAAAUCUGCGGAGGCGAGGGAAAUUGCCUGCAACUCUCAACGCCUCUCUCUUUGUCCACUCAAAUUUGGAGUUUUAGGUUUCACACGCCUCCCAAACAAUACUUAUUCUCCCUUUCCUCUUAUCUACGGAAGCUUCCAUUCCUUCUUGCGCUCCGCCUCAGCUCUCCUGCAGUCGAUGCUCCGGUCGGGCGGCGGUGUCCUGAUCAAGGCUUCCCGGAGAGAGGAAGAGCCCCCUCUUAAAUGUUAUUCGCCUUCCUCCCUUCUCGCCCUCUCCUUGUCUCGCCUCCUUUCAUGUCUUCCCUCGGCCUCCCCUUCUUUGCUCGCCUACUCGGGACCGGGUUCCAAACUCUAAUUUCCUCUCCUGAUCCUUCUUCCCCCAUACGGCGGCUCCCUUCCUGCCCCGAUCGCCAGAAAAAGAGGCUUUUUUUGACGUUUUUCCAUUGUUUAGUGCUGCUUCUUUGGCUCCGCGGUCAAAAUGAGUGAUCACAAGCAGGUCCUAAUAUUUGGGUCAUUCACUGAAGAUGAGACUAGGUAUUUUCAAAGACAGUUAGUUGAAAGCAAUCUUCAUCCUUUGGAAAAGGCAGGGUUGCAGUCCAAAUCUUUAGACUUUGCUUCUCCAAAUUCAUCGAAAUGUUUGAUUGCUGAACCCAAACAAACUGAUUCAUUUGGAAGAUCAAAGGAUAUCCAAGGUUCAAAGCUGGUUGCAAAUGACAAAAAGACCAAGAAUGAGAAGGCCAAAACAAGUAAUAAUUUCAAAAAAGAUAUGGAGGCCCAAGCUAAUGGAGGCUGUAACCCUUGUUUUCCGGGCACUGAUGGGAUUAUUGAAAAUGGGAGCAAUACUUUAGAUUUUGUUUCUUUGCAAAUAUCUGAAAAUGAAUCUGCUGAUACAGAGUCAUUAUCAAGCCCAAACUUGCACAACCAUGGAAUUCAAACAUCUAAAUUCAAGAUCAUGUUAGUUGAUUCCUCAGCAGUCGUGAAUCCUGUGGUGGAUGUCCCAGAAACAUCUAGUGAUAAAGCACCAUUGGCUAAAAGAUUUCUUCCACGAGGCUUAAUAAAUUCAGGAAAUCUGUGCUUCCUUAAUGCAACACUGCAGGCACUCCUCUCCUGUUCACCAUUUGUUCAGCUUUUGCAAAAUCAAAGAAAUCGAGACAUUCCUAAGAUUGGCUAUCCAACAUUAAUUGCAUUUGUGGAGUUUAUCUCUGAAUUUGGCAUGCCUGAUGAUUCAUGCCUGAAGAAUAAUGAGCGAGGAGCUCUUGAAACCAAAGAGUCCUUCAAUCCCAUUAUGUUUGAUCCUGUUCUGAAAAGGUUCACCCCAGACAUGCCAACUGGAAUAUCAGGCAGGCCAAGGCAAGAAGAUGCCCAGGAGUUUUUAUCUUUUGUUAUGGAUCAAAUGCAUAAUGAACUGUUGAACCUUGAUGGCCAAUUUUCUAGUUCCAAUGGAGCAAAAUUGCCUCUGAUUUCUUCUUCUGAAGAUGAUGGUUGGGAAACUGUUGGGCCAAAAAACAAGUCUGCAGUGACCAGAACUCAGAACUUUGUGCCAUCCGAGUUAAGUGCAAUUUUUGGGGGUCAGUUAAGAAGUGUUGUGAAGGCCACAGGCAACAAGGCUUCAGCUACUGUUCAGCCCUUCCUUUUGCUCCAUCUUGAUAUUUUUCCUGAUGCUGUUCAUACUAUUAAAGAUGCACUUCAUUUGUUUUCUGCUCCAGAAACUCUUGAAGGAUACAGAACUUCAUCUGGCAAGAGUUGGGGAAACCAAGAAUUUGUCUACCAUCCUCUGUUGGUCCAUACCAUAUUGUUUGUUCUCUGCCAGACAGGUACUGGAAUGGUACAAAGGUACAUGACUGGUAGAGGGUACAACGUUGUACCUUGCCAGCCCAUGAAUGGCUGGGGUGGUUAGUGCUAGCAAGUCUAUAAAAAUACAGACACUGUCCAAGAUAAUGAUACUUCAUCUGAUGAGGUUUAGCUAUGGAAGCAAAGGAAGCACUAAAUUGAACAAGCCUGUCGGCUUUCCCCUUGAGCUUGUACUUGGCCGUGAGUUACUUGUCUCUCCAUCAUCAAAGGGUCGGAAAUAUGAGCUCGAGGCCACCAUCACUCACCAUGGUAGAGAGCCCUCUAGAGGUCAUUAUACCGCUGAUGCGAGGUAUUCUGAUGGUCGCUGGCUUCGGUUUGAUGAUGCGUCUGUCACAGCUGUGGAUAUAAAUGAAGUCCUGCAUGACCAGGCAUAUGUUCUCUUUUACAGACAAAUAUAGGUGGUCAUGUAUUCUUCCAGAGUCAUGUUGGUGUCUAUCCUGACCUGUUCUUCAGCUGAUAUAUAUAUAUAUAUAUAUAUAUAUAUAUAUAUAUAUAUAUGUUAAUACAAUAGCUGAGUUUGUGGGCAGGAAGGAACAAUGUUCAUAAUGUAUGUAAAGCUAAUUGAGCUGGA